AUGACCUUGCGAGAUGCGCCAAAGCCAGCAGGAGAGGAGCGCGAUGUCCAUGCACUUCGAGCACAUGAUACGGAGGCCACCUUGCUCCUGAGGCUUACAGAUAUCGGGCCAGCUGACCAUAUGGUAUUUCUGCUUGUUAUUGUCGCCGGCCCAAUAGAAGCGGGAUUGGACUUUGGCGAUCUCAUGGUGAAAGGUCUCGUGGAGGCUUUAGAAGCUCAUGAGGAACAAGAGGAGACUAGAGAGCGAAGAGUUGAUGAGAAUCGUCCGAGCCGCCUUAGACAACCACCGACCCUGCCAAGGUUCAAUGCACGUCUGCAAUUUGGCGACAGUCGGACGCAGGUCAGCAACAGUAAGGCGAGAGUCACUAAUGGGUGUUCCCAGGUAGGUGGUGGGAAGGGACCCAAGGCGGCAGUUCAGGCGGUUGGCAAUGUCCCGGGCCUCAACCGGAGAGUAUCCCAUCACCGUCACAUCACUCUUGUCGAAGUUGAUCUUGAGGCCAGACAUCUGUUGGAAGCAGAGGAGGAGGAACUUGAGGUUAGCGAUGUCUGCGGUCGACCCUUCGACCAUGAUGAUGGUGUCGUCCGCAUAUUGGAGCAGGGAGAUGCCUGCGCCAUUGGCCAAGUGGGGCACGAGACCCCGAAUAUGGCCGGCCGCCUUCGCCCUGUCCAGGAUGGCAGCCAGUGCGUCCACCACCAUAUUGAACAGGAACGGGGAGAAAGGGUCGCCCCGUCUCACCCCACAAAGAGUGGGAAAGUAGGGGCCGAUCUUGCCGUUGAUGUUAAUGGCAGUGCGACCACAAGAAACCAUCUGCAUAACCCUAGCGAUCCACCGAUCAUCAAAGCCUUUUCGAAGGAGAACUUCCCGAAGGAAGGGCCAGCUAACAGUGUCGUAAGCCUUAUGGAAAUUGAUCUUCAGGAAGACAACCUUAAGGUGUUUGGACCGGACCUCAUGGAGAACUUCAUGGAGGACUAG
rnacentral:rRNA from 1 species